rnacentral:tRNA from 1 species
GCGGGCGUGGUGGAAUUGGUAGACGCGCGGCACUCAAAAUGCCGUUCCUUCGGGAGUGUCGGUUCGAGUCCGACCGCCCGCACCA